UUUAUUUGUUAUUACCCCCCCUUUUAGUAGCUUGUGGAUUGAAGCUUCUUAUUUAUUUUUUUUUAUAUUGUGUGUGUGUGUGUUUUGAAUUGCGUCUUAAAAAUUGCCCAGCUGGAGACAAGCCUUGAUUAGCGCUGGAACAAUAGCUCCAUUUUUAUUAAUAAGGGGAAGGAUUUACAAUCCUCCGGCACCUUCCUUGGAAGGUUUUCAAAAGCCUUUAUGCAAGGCAGGCACAAAUUUAAGCUUUCGCAGCCCUGCCUGCAAGGCGGUCCCCGGGUGACCUCGUUCAGCGCUGGCUCUGCUGUGCUUUGGCCGUGGUGUUGUGUUAAUGCUGCUAGCGCUCACGUGCCGGCCAGCUCCACCUGGCUCGCAGGACGGCUGAGCCUACAACCCCCAGUUUAUUUGUUUAUUUUCAAAUGCAUCUCUUUGCUGCAAAAUGCAGGGGAAAUUUCCAAUAUUUCAAACUGUCAUCUUUAUCUGAUUGUUUUUUUCCCUCCUUCCAAGGGAAAUGCAGGAUUGUUUGUGCAGCCCCCACUCAGCAGCAGAUACCUUUUGCCCGUGUCCUUGCCAGGCGUGGACACAUGGGGACCGUAGCAACAAAAAGGAAGAACCGAUCAGCUGAUUUCGWCGGUCAGUUGCACCUUGAAAGAAGAAGUCCUGGUGCCCUUUGUUCUUCUCGCCUGUGCCAGCUUUUGCUCCGAGCCCGACUGGCUGUUUCUUGUGGGAAUGCUGAGCUGGAGCCUGUGGGAUGCUAAAACAACCUGGUUUUCAACCCUUCAGGUUGUGUUUCCUUCCCUGUGGCCRUGUGAUGGAGCUGUACAAUUAAACUGGUGUGGCAAAGGGCAGCUGCCUCCCCCAAAAAAGCCUUCCACAGUUGUGCAUGCUCCCCAACUGCUGCCUAGGCAGAAACAUCCAGUGAAGUCGUCAGCGUUGUGCCGCUGUGCGGCACGUUUAGGCACACGCGCGCGCGAGAGUGAGAACGGGGCCCCUUUCCCUGCAGGUGAACGGAGCUGCAUGCAAUAGUGCACCCG